rnacentral:lncRNA from 1 species
GAGGGGCCAAUAUAUUAGGAUUUAAAGUUGAUUUCUUUCCCAGUGUUAAGCUUGUAAAUAAAUAAAUAACAGAUUAUCUUUAAUUUCCUAUUUUCUUAAAUAUACUUGUGAAAGAAAGAUUUGAUUGGCUGUUUCUUUUAAUUUUUAUUAAUUAUGUUAGUAGAAUCUAGGAGUAAGUUUGCCAUAUUACUAAAAAAAGAGUCUUUUAAUUGGAGGGAGAAAUGUAAAUUCCUCUUUUUCUUUAUUGUAGAAGGCCACAAAUAUUAAUUUAAUAUAUAUAUAUUGUCCUAAGUUGUACAAUACAAAGGCAAUAUAUAUUACUAUUUAGAAUUUUGGGAGGGCCAAGGAGCUUGCUGUCCUAAGCACACCUCUGCCCCCAACCCACGCCAUGAUGUUCAGCACCUAAACAAACCCAAUAAGCAAAAUCAAAAUAAAUAAAUAAAAUCGAUCUGGGUAUUUUAAUUCAACCAAAAUUCUAACUUUUUCAAUAUGCGUCUUCUUUCUUUCUUUCUUUUUGGGUUUUUUUUUAUAUAUUCGUUUUCUUCUUGUUCUGGUUUUGGUUCCAGAAAGAAAGAAGGGGGUUUUAAGAGAGAGAGAGAGAGAGAGAGAGAGAGAGAGAGAGAGAGAGAGAGAGAGAGAGAGAGAGAAGGUUCUGGAGGGUGGGCUAGGGUCAGGUACGAAUCGGUACCCCAGCAAUGUCUUCUCCUAUCUUCUUCGGGGAGAGACCCAGAGGACCGAUCUUGGGUCGAACGUUGGAGGCAUGGCUUCUUCGAUGGCGCUCUGGGUUAGGGUUUUGGAGGGAGUCCAUGACCCAUGACCCGGUGGACUAAGGGACAUGGAAGCUCCAUGCCUAGCAGAUUGGGGUCUUUCCCAAUUUCUCAUUCAUCAAUCUCCCAAAACUUAAAUCAAUUCACCAACCAAAACCUUUAAAUCCCAAAUUCUCAUUGUUUAAGUAGCUAGACUAUGACGAGAUAUUGGCUGGUGACAAUGCUCUGGAUAUGAUGGGCAAGGCGGUGGGGAGUACGAGGGGUGAAGCGCGGGUGGGAUAUUGUUGUUGUUGUCUUUUUAUUUUUUUUCAAUUUAAAGAUUUUUUUAUUUGUCUUUAAUAUUUAAUUUUAUAAUUAAUGAAUUUUUUAAUAAUUUGUGAAUCGAAUUUCUCCUUCCAAAACUAACAAAAGUUUAAAUUUUUUUU